AGUGAACGCUGGCGGUAGGCCUAACACAUGCAAGUCGAACGGCAGCACAGUAAGAGCUUGCUCUUACGGGUGGCGAGUGGCGGACGGGUGAGGAAUACAUCGGAAUCUACUUUUUCGUGGGGGAUAACGUAGGGAAACUUACGCUAAUACCGCAUACGACCUACGGGUGAAAGCAGGGGAUCUUCGGACCUUGCGCGAUUGAAUGAGCCGAUGUCGGAUUAGCUAGUUGGCGGGGUAAAGGCCCACCAAGGCGACGAUCCGUAGCUGGUCUGAGAGGAUGGUCAGCCAAACUGGAACUGAGACACGGGCCAGACUCCUACGGGAGGCAGCAGUGGGGAAUAUUGGACAAUGGGCGCAAGCCUGAUCCAGCCAUACCGCGUGGGUGAAGAAGGCCUUCGGGUUGUAAAGCCCUUUUGUUGGGAAAGAAAAGCAGCAGGUUAAUACCCCGCUGUUCUGACGGUACCCAAAGAAUAAGCACCGGCUAACUUCGUG
rnacentral:rRNA from 1 species